rnacentral:rRNA from 1 species
UACGUAGGGGGCAAGCGUUGUCCGGAUUUAUUGGGCGUAAAGAGCGUGUAGGCGGCCAGACAGGUCCGUUGUGAAAACUCGAGGCUCAACCUCGAGAUGUCGAUGGAAACCGUCUGGCUAGAGUCCGGAAGAGGAGUGUGGAAUUCCUGGUGUAGCGGUGAAAUGCGCAGAUAUCAGGAAGAACACCGAUGGCGAAGGCAGUUCUCUGGGACGGUACUGACGCUGAGACGCGAAAGCGUGGGGAGCGAACAGG